AUUGAACGCUGGCGGCAUGCCUUACACAUGCAAGUCGAACGGCAGCACGGGGGGUAACCCCUGGUGGCGAGUGGCGAACGGGUGAGUAAUAUAUCGGAACAUGCCCUGUAGCGGGGGAUAACGCGUCGAAAGAUGUGCUAAUACCGCAUACGCUCUACGGAGGAAAGCGGGGGUUUUCGGGCAACUGAGGACCUCGCACUAUAGGAGUGGCCGAUAUCGGAUUAGCUAGUGGCGGGGUAAAGCCCACCAAGGCGACGAUCCGUAGCUGGUCUGAGAGGAUGAUCAGCCACACUGGAACUGAGACACGGUCCAGACUCCUACGGGAGGCAGCAGUGGGGAAUUUUGGACAAUGGGCGCAAGCCUGAUCCAGCCAUGCCGCGUGAGUGAAGAAGGCC
rnacentral:rRNA from 1 species